CAGUAUAUAUUUUAAUUAAAAUAUUAAUUUUGGAGAUUAAUGAUAAUAUUUGUAUAUUUAUACUGA
rnacentral:tRNA from 1 species